rnacentral:rRNA from 1 species
GACGAACGCUGGCGGCGUGCUUAACACAUGCAAGUCGAACGGAAAGGCCCUGCUUUUGUGGGGUGCUCGAGUGGCGAACGGGGGCGUAACACGUGAGUAACCUGCCCUUGACUUUGGGAUAACUUCAGGAAACUGGGGCUAAUACCGGAUCGGAGCCCCUGCAGCAUGGUGGGGGGUGGAAAGUUUCGGCGGUUGGGGAUGGACUCGCGGCUUAUCAGCUAGUUGGUGGGGUAGUGGCUGACCAAGGCUUUGACGGGUAGCCGGCCUGAGAGGGUGACCGGCCACAUUGGGACUGAGAUACGGCCCAGACUCCUACGGGAGGCAGCAGUGGGGAAUAUUGCACAAUGGGCGGGAGCCUGAUGCAGCAACGCCGCGUGCGGGAUGACGGCCUUCGGGUUGUAAACAGCUUUCGCCUGUGACGAAGCGUGAGUGACGGUAAUGGGUAAAGAAGCACCGGCUAACUACGUG